GGGAUACUGAAAGUCAUUGCUGAGAAAACAGACUUUUAUCAGAGGGUGGCUCGUGUGCUCUGGAAUCAGCUGAACAAGGAGACCCGUGAGCAUCACAUCACCUGUGUAGAGCUGUUCUACCGCCUGCACUGCCUGGCCCCGACCGCCAACAUCUGUGAGGACAUCAUCUGCCAUGCCCUCCUGGACCCCGACAAGGGAACAAGGUGGAAGCUCUGUUUAAUUUUCCGUGAUCUGGCACCUGACACGAGAAAUCCAGGGUAGUCGUGUGACAUCUCACAACCGCUCCUUUGACAGGUCCUUGUUUGUUGUUCUGGAUAGCCUGGCUUGCACAGACGGUGCUAUCAGUGCAGCAGCCCAGGGCUGGCUGGUUCGAGCGCUCUCCCUCGGGGAUGUGGCACGCAUCCUCGAACCCAUGCUCCUGCUGCUGCUCCAGCCCAAAACCCAGAGGACCUCCAUUCAGUGCCUCAAGCAGAACUGCUGUGCUCCCAUCCCCGUCGGGGGCAGGGCAUACUCCAAGCGAGCAGCCUUGCUGGCAGCCUUCCAGCCAGAAAGCCCCAGGUCUAAUGCCAGGUUAAGCCUAGUGCGAGCAGACUCAGACAAGACACAGGCUUCCGAGUCAUUUUCCAGUGAUGAGGAGGCUGAAGUGGAGCUCCAAGCCAUUACCACAUCGAGGCUGUUGAAGCAGCAGAGGGAGAAGCAGGAGACAGUCGAGGCCUUGUUCAAACACAUCUUGCUCUACCUGCAGCCCUACGACUCCCAGAGGGUCCUGUACGCCUUCUCGGUGCUGGAGGCUGUGCUUAAGACCAACCCCAAGGAAUUCAUUGAGGCUGUGUCCAGGACAGGCAUAGACACCAGCUCCA
rnacentral:lncRNA from 1 species